rnacentral:misc_RNA from 1 species
UGGUUCUGGCAUCGAUGAAGAACGCAGCGAAAUGCGAUAAGUAGUGUGAAUUGCAGAAUUCAGUGAAUCAUCGAAUCUUUGAACGCACAUUGCGCCCCUCGGUAUUCCUUGGGGCAUGCCUGUUCGAGCGUCAUUUACACCCUCAAGCCUUGCUUGGUGUUGGGCGUCUGUCCCGCCGCGAUUCUCGCGGGGACUCGCCCCAAAGUCAUUGGCAGUGGUCCUGCCGGGCCUCCUAAUCGCGCAGCACUGUUCGCGCUUCCUGGAGCCUGUGCGGACGCAACGUCCAGUAAGCUCACCUUUGAACUUGACCUCGGAUCAGGUAGGGAUACCCGCUGA